rnacentral:rRNA from 1 species
UUAAGCGACUAAGCGUACACGGUGGAUGCCCUGGCAGUCAGAGGCGAUGAAGGACGUGCUAAUCUGCGAUAAGCGUCGGUAAGGUGAUAUGAACCGUUAUAACCGGCGAUUUCCGAAUGGGGAAACCCAGUGUGAUUCGUCACACUAUCAUUAACUGAAUCCAUAGGUUAAUGAGGCGAACCGGGGGAACUGAAACAUCUAAGUACCCCGAGGAAAAGAAAUCAACCGAGAUUCCCCCAGUAGCGGCGAGCGAACGGGGAGCAGCCCAGAGCCUGAAUCAGUAUGUGUGUUAGUGGAAGCGUCUGGAAAGGCGCGCGAUACAGGGUGACAGCCCCGUACACAAAAAUGCACAUGCUGUGAGCUCGAUGAGUAGGGCGGGACACGUGGUAUCCUGUCUGAAUAUGGGGGGACCAUCCUCCAAGGCUAAAUACUCCUGACUGACCGAUAGUGAACCAGUACCGUGAGGGAAAGGCGAAAAGAACCCCGGCGAGGGGAGUGAAAAAGAACCUGAAACCGUGUACGUACAAGCAGUGGGAGCACGCUUAGGCGUGUGACUGCGUACCUUUUGUAUAAUGGGUCAGCGACUUAUAUUCUGUAGCAAGGUUAACCGAAUAGGGGAGCCGAAGGGAAACCGAGUCUUAACUGGGCGUUAAGUUGCAGGGUAUAGACCCGAAACCCGGUGAUCUAGCCAUGGGCAGGUUGAAGGUUGGGUAACACUAACUGGAGGACCGAACCGACUAAUGUUGAAAAAUUAGCGGAUGACUUGUGGCUGGGGGUGAAAGGCCAAUCAAACCGGGAGAUAGCUGGUUCUCCCCGAAAGCUAUUUAGGUAGCGCCUCGUGAAUUCAUCUCCGGGGGUAGAGCACUGUUUCGGCAAGGGGGUCAUCCCGACUUACCAACCCGAUGCAAACUGCGAAUACCGGAGAAUGUUAUCACGGGAGACACACGGCGGGUGCUAACGUCCGUCGUGAAGAGGGAAACAACCCAGACCGCCAGCUAAGGUCCCAAAGUCAUGGUUAAGUGGGAAACGAUGUGGGAAGGCCCAGACAGCCAGGAUGUUGGCUUAGAAGCAGCCAUCAUUUAAAGAAAGCGUAAUAGCUCACUGGUCGAGUCGGCCUGCGCGGAAGAUGUAACGGGGCUAAACCAUGCACCGAAGCUGCGGCAGCGACGCUGAUGCGUUGUUGGGUAGGGGAGCGUUCUGUAAGCCUGUGAAGGUGUGCUGUGAGGCAUGCUGGAGGUAUCAGAAGUGCGAAUGCUGACAUAAGUAACGAUAAAGCGGGUGAAAAGCCCGCUCGCCGGAAGACCAAGGGUUCCUGUCCAACGUUAAUCGGGGCAGGGUGAGUCGACCCCUAAGGCGAGGCCGAAAGGCGUAGUCGAUGGGAAACAGGUUAAUAUUCCUGUACUUGGUGUUACUGCGAAGGGGGGACGGAGAAGGCUAUGUUGGCCGGGCGACGGUUGUCCCGGUUUAAGCGUGUAGGCUGGUUUUCCAGGCAAAUCCGGAAAACUAAGGCUGAGGCGUGAUGACGAGGCACUACGGUGCUGAAGCAACAAAUGCCCUGCUUCCAGGAAAAGCCUCUAAGCAUCAGGUAACAUCAAAUCGUACCCCAAACCGACACAGGUGGUCAGGUAGAGAAUACCAAGGCGCUUGAGAGAACUCGGGUGAAGGAACUAGGCAAAAUGGUGCCGUAACUUCGGGAGAAGGCACGCUGAUAUGUAGGUGAAGUCCCUCGCGGAUGGAGCUGAAAUCAGUCGAAGAUACCAGCUGGCUGCAACUGUUUAUUAAAAACACAGCACUGUGCAAACACGAAAGUGGACGUAUACGGUGUGACGCCUGCCCGGUGCCGGAAGGUUAAUUGAUGGGGUCAGCGCAAGCGAAGCUCUUGAUCGAAGCCCCGGUAAACGGCGGCCGUAACUAUAACGGUCCUAAGGUAGCGAAAUUCCUUGUCGGGUAAGUUCCGACCUGCACGAAUGGCGUAAUGAUGGCCAGGCUGUCUCCACCCGAGACUCAGUGAAAUUGAACUCGCUGUGAAGAUGCAGUGUACCCGCGGCAAGACGGAAAGACCCCGUGAACCUUUACUAUAGCUUGACACUGAACAUUGAGCCUUGAUGUGUAGGAUAGGUGGGAGGCUUUGAAGUGUGGACGCCAGUCUGCAUGGAGCCGACCUUGAAAUACCACCCUUUAAUGUUUGAUGUUCUAACGUUGACCCGUAAUCCGGGUUGCGGACAGUGUCUGGUGGGUAGUUUGACUGGGGCGGUCUCCUCCUAAAGAGUAACGGAGGAGCACGAAGGUUGGCUAAUCCUGGUCGGACAUCAGGAGGUUAGUGCAAUGGCAUAAGCCAGCUUGACUGCGAGCGUGACGGCGCGAGCAGGUGCGAAAGCAGGUCAUAGUGAUCCGGUGGUUCUGAAUGGAAGGGCCAUCGCUCAACGGAUAAAAGGUACUCCGGGGAUAACAGGCUGAUACCGCCCAAGAGUUCAUAUCGACGGCGGUGUUUGGCACCUCGAUGUCGGCUCAUCACAUCCUGGGGCUGAAGUAGGUCCCAAGGGUAUGGCUGUUCGCCAUUUAAAGUGGUACGCGAGCUGGGUUUAGAACGUCGUGAGACAGUUCGGUCCCUAUCUGCCGUGGGCGCUGGAGAACUGAGGGGGGCUGCUCCUAGUACGAGAGGACCGGAGUGGACGCAUCACUGGUGUUCGGGUUGUCAUGCCAAUGGCACUGCCCGGUAGCUAAAUGCGGAAGAGAUAAGUGCUGAAAGCAUCUAAGCACGAAACUUGCCCCGAGAUGAGUUCUCCCUGACUCCUUGAGAGUCCUGAAGGAACGUUGAAGACGACGACGUUGAUAGGCCGGGUGUGUAAGCGCAGCGAUGCGUUGAGCUAACCGGUACUAAUGAACCGUGAGGCUUAACCUU